UACGUAGGGUCCGAGCGUUGUCCGGAAUUACUGGGCGUAAAGAGCUCGUAGGUGGUUUGUCGCGUUGUUCGUGAAAACUCACAGCUUAACUGUGGGCGUGCGGGCGAUACGGGCAGACUUGAGUACUGCAGGGGGAGAAUGGAAUUCCUGGUGUAGCGGUGAAAUGCGCAGAUAUCAGGAGGAACACCGGUGGCGAAGGCGGUUCUCUGGGCAUUACCUGACGCUGAGGAGCGAAAGUGUGGGGAGCGAACAGG
rnacentral:rRNA from 1 species